rnacentral:rRNA from 1 species
ACUGCACGCCAGUGCGAUAAGGGGACUCCAAGUGCGAGGGCAUAUCGUCCUCGCUAUCCUGUACUGUAGGGUAGUACAGUAUCAAGAGCUGGGCAAGACCGGUGCCAGCCGCCGCGGUAAUACCGGCAGCUCGAGUGAUGGCCAAUCUUAUUGGGCCUAAAGCGUCCGUAGCUGGCCGCGCAAGUCCGUCGGGAAAUCCAUCAGCCCAACUGAUGGGCGUCCGGCGGAAACUGCACGGCUUGGGACCGGAAGGCUCGAGAGGUACGUCCGGGGUAGGAGUGAAAUCCCGUAAUCCCGAACGGACCACCGAUGGCGAAAGCAUCUCGAGAAAACGGAUCCGACAGUGA